UGAACAAUGGACUCGCUGGUUGACUGGUUGACUGAUUGAUCAAGGCUGCAACUGCAGAAGCUGAUUGACGUUUGGAUAUUUAUCGGUCUGGAGGAACUUCUGAAGCUGCGUUCAGAUCCUCGGCAGCACUGACUCUCUCCGCUGAAGCCGCUGAAACUCAGAGUAUUUCACAUAAGAAGAAGAAGGAUGCGACGAAGAGGCGGCGUACCUUCAGAUGCAGAGAAGAGCAUCACGAUGCCC